AGAACCAAAAUUUCAUCAGAAUGUAACUAGCUGAGAAAAUUCUUCCUUGAUUUUGCCAAGAAUGUGGUCAACUGGAUGAUGUUUUCAGGGCAAGAGCUUAAUGUACCACAGACUAAAGCCGCAGGGGCAGCUGGGCACACAUGGGCAGACGCCUGAGUCUCUGGACAGCUGGCCGGGGCCUUCCUGUCACAUUUUCCCAAGUCCACGGUCGCAGGCAGCAGCUGGAACUCGGAGGGAAAAAAAAAAAAUCCUUUCCUACACUUUGAGAAUUGGAUUGCUUUAAAAGAAGAAGAAGGAAAAGGAGAAGAGGAAGAAGGGGAGGAGGAAGGGGAAGAAAGAAAAGAAAUCACUCAGGCGCUGAUCCAAGCUGGGUCCUCAGGUGGUCCCCUCACUAGCGGCCUUGGCCUUACCCAGAAACGUGUUAGAACCGAGGUAUCUCAGCCACAGCCCCCCACCCCCCACCCCCUGCUCAGCAUCUACAUUUUAACGAGAUGCACAGGGGAUGUGUGUGCACAUGGCAGUUUGAGAAGUGCUGCUCUAAGGUACAGAUGAGGUUCUAGGUCGAGAAAGUUCAAGUCUGUGUUUCUCCACCUUAGCUUAGAAUCACCUGGGAGCUUCAAAAAAAUACUGAUGACUGGACCCCACUCAUCCCCAGAAUAAUUAAAACAGAGCCUCUGGGGGCGGGGCCCUGGCCUGGGUUUAUUUCAAAAGUGCCCCAGGUGCUCUCAGUGGGUAGCCCAGGCUCAGCGCUGGAAGUCAGUGAUGCGCGCAGUUGCUGGGCUGUCUAUCCCCACCAGGCCGGCCACCCGUGGCUCAUCUGUGGGAAGCAGGCCUGAGCACAUCCCCAAGGUGGCCUAGGACAGGAGCAGAAAAACAUGACCAGUGCCUGGGGUGGAGAGUGGAUAACUCCCUACAAACCCAGCUUGGAGGCCUAUCCAGUCCCUGAGAGAAAAUGUAAUGAAAGGACUCCAUCAUCUAAAUCUCUUUUCAUCAAAGAGAUGCCCUAUUUCUGUGGCAUUUCUGCAUGAAAUGCUCCAGCGUUGCAAAGCAAGAAUGUUCAAAUUCGCUUCUGUCGGACGUUGAAUAGGUCACAUCCUGCAACACUUCCCUGGAAUGUGGCUUGAGAAUUUAAUCGAGUUGGAAAGCACGGUCACCAGGUAAGCAACCAGACACACUUCCUAGCUUUGUAACCGAGAGACAAAAUAAAAUAAGGCUGACAGAAGGUGCGCAUGUUUGAAAUACUUUCUCGCAAGCCCAUCACCACCGCCAAAUGUUAGCCUCUUGAAGCAUAAAUUAAUUUUCCACAGACGCACGCCGGGCUGCGCCUGGAUUCUGCUCUGGUGAGCAGUACGUGUUAGACUUCUGGACAACAGCUUCAAGGAUGACAUUUCUCCAACUUGCUGUGAUUCUUAUCCUUGAGCAGAAUGUUUUUCUUGGAAUGGGUUUCCAGGAGGGUUUUGGACCCAGUUCCGGUCACAUGUGCAGGUGGGAGGCACGCUCUUGACCCUGAGACGUGGGCCUGGUCAGCAUGUGACCCCUGCCAUCCCCGAGGGCUCACCUGGUACUGCUGCCCGGUGCAGAGGACAAGGUGGUCGUAGAGCACGACUUCUUCUCUGGAAACAAUGACCUGCUUAGCUGCUCGGUCUAUGGCAGUCAUUUUACCAACCACCACGUUGACCCAGGAGCACAGCGACAUCAACGCGUGAUCUUUGUCAUUAUAACAGUGGCUGCGGAGAGAGAGGCUCCAUCAGUGACAUUUGAGCAGCUGACAGCGGGCAUUAAUUAGACAUCUGCUGAGCUGGUUCAAGUCCCCUGGUUGGCCGAGCCUGUGCUCUUGCUGGGAGUUUACCGGGACCCAGGCUAGCCAGGAGAUUUGUCCUUAUGAGACACUUAGCUGCAAAUUGACAUCUUCCCAUUAAAGCUAAAUUGUUCUGCCUGGAGUAGACCAGUCCACAACAGGGAGGGGGUGUGUGUGUGUGUGUGUGCGUGUAAUCAUUCAUAUAUACUCUUGCUUCCAUUUCAUAGCGGGUGUAAAUUUACCUUAGCGGUUGAUCUGUCAUAUUGACAACUGUCAUAUUGACCACAGACUCAGAGCGAAUGAGCAUGAAGAAAGUGACAUCUGAGGAUUCCCACAGGCAGGGGUCAAGGUCCAGAACAUCAAGAACCCUGUCUAUUUGCUAAGGCUUUUCAAUAAAUGAUUCAUUCUUAGAAUUAGUGUAUGGAUUCAU